CUCAGUGAAAUUGAACUCGCUGUGAAGAUGCAGUGUACCCGCGGCAAGACGGAAAGACCCCGUGAACCUUUACUAUAGCUUGACACUGAACAUUGAGCCUUGAUGUGUAGGAUAGGUGGGAGGCUUUGAAGUGUGGACGCCAGUCUGCAUGGAGCCGACCUUGAAAUACCACCCUUUAAUGUUUGAUGUUCUAACGUGGGCCCCUUACCGGGGUUGCGGACAGUGUCUGGUGGGUAGUUUGACUGGGGCGGUCUCCUCCUAAAGAGUAACGGAGGAGCACGAAGGUUGGCUAAUCCUGGUCGGACAUCAGGAGGUUAGUGCAAUGGCAUAAGCCAGCUUGACUGCGAGCGUGACGGCGCGAGCAGGUGCGAAAGCAGGUCAUAGUGAUCCGGUGGUUCUGAAUGGAAGGGCCAUCGCUCAACGGAUAAAAGGUACUCCGGGGAUAACAGGCUGAUACCGCCCAAGAGUUCAUAUCGACGGCGGUGUUUGGCACCUCGAUGUCGGCUCAUCACAUCCUGGGGCUGAAGUAGGUCCCAAGGGUAUGGCUGUUCGCCAUUUAAAGUGGUACGCGAGCUGGGUUUAGAACGUCGUGAGACAGUUCGGUCCCUAUCUGCCGUGGGCGCUGGAGAACUGAGGGGGGCUGCUCCUAGUACGAGAGGACCGGAGUGGACGCAUCACUGGUGUUCGGGUUGUCAUGCCAAUGGCACUGCCCGGUAGCUAAAUGCGGAAGAGAUAAGUGCUGAAAGCAUCUAAGCACGAAACUUGCCCCGAGAUGAGUUCUCCCUGACUCCUUGAGAGUCCUGAAGGAACGUUGAAGACGACGACGUUGAUAGGCCGGGUGUGUAAGCGCAGCGAUGCGUUGAGCUAACCGGUACUAAUGAACCGUGAGGCUUAACCUU
rnacentral:rRNA from 1 species